UACGGGGGGGGCAAGCGUUGUUCGGAAUUACUGGGCGUAAAGGGCUCGUAGGUGGCCAACUAAGUCAGACGUGAAAUCCCUCGGCUUAACCGGGGAACUGCGUCUGAUACUGGACGGCUUGAGUUUGGGAGAGGGACGCGGAAUUCCAGGUGUAGCGGUGAAAUGCGUAGAUAUCUGGAGGAACACCGGUGGCGAAGGCGGCAUCCUGGACCAACACUGACGCUGAGUGAGCGAAAGCCAGGGGAGCAAACGGG
rnacentral:rRNA from 1 species